rnacentral:rRNA from 1 species
UGGGGAAUUUUGGACAAUGGGCGAAAGCCUGAUCCAGCAAUGCCGCGUGCAGGAUGAAGGCCCUCGGGUUGUAAACUGCUUUUGUACGGAACGAAAAGCCUGGGGCUAAUAUCCCCGGGUCAUGACGGUACCGUAAGAAUAAGCACCGGCUAACUACGUGCCAGCAGCCGCGGUAAUACGUAGGGUGCAAGCGUUAAUCGGAAUUACUGGGCGUAAAGCGUGCGCAGGCGGUUUUGUAAGACAGUGGUGAAAUCCCCGGGCUCAACCUGGGAACUGCCAUUGUGACUGCAAGGCUAGAGUGCGGCAGAGGGGGAUGGAAUUCCGCGUGUAGCAGUGAAAUGCGUAGAUAUGCGGAGGAACACCGAUGGCGAAGGCAAUCCCCUGGGCCUGCACUGACGCUCAUGCACGAAAGCGUGGGGAGCGAACAGG